rnacentral:lncRNA from 1 species
UAUCCUGCCUGUUUUGAUGAGCUGUGGUCCUUCUUGAUUUGUGGGAAGAAGACCCAAGAAGCUGGCACCUUUGGCCUACUCUCUUUUGUUAUUUAUGCAAGACUUUGCUGUUUAAUCCCAUUUGGAUGUGAUUUAUGGUGAAAUCUUGCUUGUACAAAUAAAGCCUGUCUGAAGGUCAAAGAAUGGAGCUUGCCACUAGUUAACCAUAGAGGUCUGGAGGUCUGUACAGACAGACAGGAAGUGAAGCAGCUGGGCAGAAACAGGAUAUAAGCCGGGAGAAACAGAAAUUCUCUCUUGUCUGCUGAGACACUAAGGAGGUCACUAUGUUUUUAAGAUCUCAACAUGCCUACAAAACUCCUGGUAUUCUUUAAAGUGGACCUGAGAGUCUGUACAAGUCCCCCUCCCCCCAUGAUGCCCACAUUCUAUGACAGACCACAUUUUGAGGAUCCAGAGGUGAAAGAAAUCAAAUAUACUUUGAACCCUGAGCUUGUGAAACAAAGCAUAUGUAUUUCCUGGCAACGUGGGACUCAUAGAGCUUCUGCCGUUGUGAGAUGAAAGAACAAACACACAACAGCCCAGCAGGACACAGUGAGAUUCCUUAGGGGUCACUAGUGGAGACAGCAUGGCCCCAACCACAUUUUGACCCUGGAAAAUAUUUCCACAGUGUUCCAGCUGUUUUCCCCACCAGAUUAUGCCUUCUAGUUAGUCUUGAUUCUUGUUCCCAUCAAAAAUAUUUGAGGUGAAAGAGUAAAUUUAGCCAAGACCAACAAAAUCUCUGAAGGCUUCACCACUGUUCUCUCAGUCCCCUGUUUCCAUAACACGUGGCUGGGUCUUGCUUAACCUGCCGUGAUCAGCUGAGUGGCCAUGGUGAGAAGCCAGAGUGUUUUCUAAAUAAGCUUAUUUCUGCAUCGGUUUGAACUGACCUGAAAAAUGUAUUUGUUCCAUUUGGGCCUUUCUGAGCAAACAAUGUCCACUUUGUGUUGUGUACACCACCUAAUUAUUUCAGAUUCCACAGCAUCAAUUCACAGAAAAUGAUCCAGGUUACUUAUGCUCUUGACCCAGUUGUCCUUUAGAGGUGGAUAUAUGCACAAAGGAACACACUAUGCUGAAUUUAUCUUAGUUGAAGUCUUAGGAAGCCCUGAAUUUUUAUCAUUAUAUGUUAAUAAAAAUAGACAUUUAUUGUAGCAUUUUCCCCACAUUGUUUUUAGAUUAAGGCCUCUUUGCUUUCAGACCUGACACUUGUUUAAUUUUCGUUUCUCAUCUUUGUCAGUCUCACAGUAGAAAACAGAGCAGAAAACAGCCAGAGCCUGUAGCUGUCAUCCCAGACACAAUUCUGUGAUUGCCACCUUGUCUUCAGUUCUGGCCAGCAAUUUCUUGCUAUCCUGGGGGCUGUCUGCCUCUUGUUAAAUUUGUUACAUAAUCUAAACUUCUUAGAAGUGUUCAGUGAAAAGUCAGGACUGUCUCCCAUUUUAAAGGUGCAAAAUGUAGACUGAGAAAGGUUAUAUAUUUUUCAAAAAGUAUGCAUUUCCCAAAAAUUCUAUCAAUAACAAAUACCACUAUUAUUUAAGUGAAUUCUAUCUAUUCUGUCACUGUCUGCACAUAUGUGUGUCAUAUAAAGAUUAAGUUAAGCAAUUCACUACAAAUAACCAGAGGAAAAUAUAGAAAUAAUGAUAUGAUCUCACAAUGAAACAAUCAGAUCCUAGGCUGGCCUCAAAUUUGGAAUGAUCCUUGUUCCUUUGCCUUGCUGAGUGCUGGGAUUACAGGAAUUCCAUCACACUUGACCUUUCUUUGUUCUUUGUAUUGGUGAUGAAUUUUUAACAAUGUUUUCCUUCACCAGACUAUGUAAGGAUAUGAGCAACUCAAUUCUAAGGUAAAUAUGAGAGUACUGUUACACAAAUACAUGGUUAUUCAUAUAUGUGAGUUUUUAUAACCACUGCAUGAAUCAUCUGUAAGGUUUUGGUAUGUUUCGUUUCUGCCCAUGGAACUACUUGAAUUAAUACAUAUCUACCAGAACACAAGUACCACAAGGUAGAUAGCAGCAUAUUUCAUAGCAGCAUGAAACUGUAAGUAACCUAAUUUAACAACAGCGAAGUAUUUAAGUAAUUUAUAAUUGUAUAAGUACCAGCAAAAAAGAAAACACCCUAAAACUAUAGCUAUAAUACCAAUGUAAGUGUGAGGCAGAAGUCAGUUGCCAAAGAAAAACCACUAUUUUCCGAUAAUAUGAAGUUUGAACAUAGAUAAAAUUAAGCAGUUUUCAGGGAUUUCUGCUCAGUGAAGAUGCAGAGAAGUAGGAAAGGGUCUGUAGAGAGGUCACUUUCAGGGAAAAGACUGGUAUCUGGAAGGUAGAAGGCAGGACAGGAAGGAGUGCUGGCAACUCUUUCCUAAGACAAAGGAAAUCAUCCUUGGUUAAGUCAUCUUGUCUUUAUUUAGAAAUUAGUGUACAUCUACUGGUAACAGUGAGGGUAUAUAAAAGAAGUUGAGGAUACACUGUGGUUCUGGCAUGAGA